rnacentral:rRNA from 1 species
AGUCGAGCGGUAGAGAGAAGCUUGCUUCUCUUGAGAGCGGCGGACGGGUGAGUAAUGCCUAGGAAUCUGCCUGGUAGUGGGGGAUAACGUUCGGAAACGGACGCUAAUACCGCAUACGUCCUACGGGAGAAAGCAGGGGACCUUCGGGCCUUGCGCUAUCAGAUGAGCCUAGGUCGGAUUAGCUAGUUGGUGGGGUAAUGGCUCGCCAAGGCGACGAUCCGUAACUGGUCUGAGAGGAUGAUCAGUCACACUGGAACUGAGACACGGUCCAGACUCCUACGGGAGGCAGCAGUGGGGAAUAUUGGACAAUGGGCGAAAGCCUGAUCCAGCCAUGCCGCGUGUGUGAAGAAGGUCUUCGGAUUGUAAAGCACUUUAAGUUGGGAGGAAGGGUUGUAGAUUAAUACUCUGCAAUUUUGACGUUACCGACAGAAUAAGCACCGGCUAACUCUGUGCCAGCAGCCGCGGUAAUACAGAGGGUGCAAGCGUUAAUCGGAAUUACUGGGCGUAAAGCGCGCGUAGGUGGUUAGUUAAGUUGGAUGUGAAAUCCCCGGGCUCAACCUGGGAACUGCAUUCAAAACUGACUGACUAGAGUAUGGUAGAGGGUGGUGGAAUUUCCUGUGUAGCGGUGAAAUGCGUAGAUAUAGGAAGGAACACCAGUGGCGAAGGCGACCACCUGGACUGAUACUGACACUGAGGUGCGAAAGCGUGGGGAGCAAACAGGAUUAGAUACCCUGGUAGUCCACGCCGUAAACGAUGUCAACUAGCCGUUGGGAGCCUUGAGCUCUUAGUGGCGCAGCUAACGCAUUAAGUUGACCGCCUGGGGAGUACGGCCGCAAGGUUAAAACUC